AACAAUGUUCCCCAGGGAUCAGUGUUGGGCCCAGUCUUGUUUAGUAUCUUUAUUGAUGAUCUGGAUGAGGGGAUUGAGUCCACCACCAGCAAAUCUGCAGAUGAUACCAAGCUGGAAAAAAGUGUUGAUCUGCUGGAGGGUAGGAGGGCUCUGCAGAGGGACCUGGACAAGCUAAAUUGAUGGACCAAAUCCAACUUCUUAAACCAACAAUAAGAGGUUUAAGAAGAUCAAGUUCCAGGUCCCUCAUCUUGGUCAACCCCCUGCAGCUCUACAGGUUGGGGACAGAGUGGCUGAACAGUGUCCAGAUAGAAAGGGAUGUGUGGGUACUGAUUGACAGCAGCUGAACAUGGGCACACAUCAGCAUGCCCAGGUGGCCAUGUAGGCCAGUGGCAUCCUGGUCUGUAUCAGGAAUACUGUGGCCAGCAGGACUAGGAAAGUUAUUCUUCUUCUGUAGCUGGCACUGGUAAGGCCACACCUUGAGUGCUGUGACCAGUUCUGAGACAGUCUAUUUAGGAAGGAUGCUUGGAGCAUAUCCAGAGAAGGCAAACUAAGUUGGUGAAAUGUCUGGAACACAAGUCCUGUGAGGAGCAGCUGAGGGAGCUGGGAUUGUUCAGACUGGAGACAGGAGGCUCAGAUUAAGAAGCUUGAAUGAACAGAGGUUUAUAUUGAGAAGUUAUUGAAAAUUAAAGUCAGAGCACAACAUUAAAACUUUAUUUCAGGCAUUCACAAACAAUCCUGGACCUUGUCCCCAGAAGAUCCAGAAACAACCAAAGCAGAAACCAGAGACAGCUGUGCAAACCUAUUUCUCUUAGCUAUAUUUAUCAGUGAAGGUAAUCAUUGCCUGUUGCAGUUCAGGAAAAAUAGUCUUUGGAGACAGCAAGAGAGAGUUCCGAAGCUUCAGCUCCUGACCAUCUUUCUAUGUUAACAGAACAUCUCCGGAAAGGAAUGUUCUUAUCCAACAUAAUUAAGAUUACUAGAUGCUGCUUCACUUCCUGCAAUAGCCUGUAUCACCUCAAGAAGAGUGAGGCAGAGGGAGUUUGAAGCACACUUUGACCUCGUUCUGACAACUGGUUCUAGAUGUCAAGUCUGACUUGGGAAGGUCUCUGCCUUUAAGAAAGAUUUUGCCCUGAAGAAGGUUCACUCCAGAAGCUGAUUCUUGCUCAUUAACUUCCCUUCCAGCAACUUUUCAAGACUCAAAACUCCCCAGCUCAGCUCCUUCAACAAGCCCAGCAGCAGCAUGCAUAUGUUACACAUUAAAAACAGCCAGAGAAGUGUCAGUGUGGAACAUUUGCAACCAUACACAUCACUGAUGACUAAGUUACAACCAAUGGGGAGCAAUAAACACUGUCCAAGUGUGAUUCGUUGAAGCUAAUGUAGAUACCAGCUUCAGGAAAGGAUAUAUUUUACCACCCCAGUGCCUAUUUCUCUGCAGUAACUAUGGAGAAACCCAAAGGUGCCCAGCUCAGGCUUGUAAACUCUGUGUCCAUUCCCAUCCUUCAAGCACUGCUCAGAAAUUAAGAGUUCAAAGAGGAAGCCAUUGUUCCAUAUGUUCAGAAAAAUAUAAAGGAAGAAUGUGUCAUUUUGUCUGUUUUGGCUGAAUAGUCACUGAAAUAAAAUUUAAAAGACUUUGUAAAAUAAAGUUGAGUCAGAUUCAUGCUAUUUAAUACAGGGUUUAUAUAUUUUCAUAUAUAUAUUUUUUUAAUAUUUUGAUUGUUAGCUAAUUUGCUUCUUACACAAUGUGUAGGUUCUGGUGAUAGGUACAAGAAAAGCUGCCAGUCCAGUUAGGAGAUUCUAUACUAAUUGAAAACAGUAGAGUAUCAAUUUUCUAUAUCCUGCUGAUAUAAAAACA